CUAAUCCCCACGGCCCACUGAAUACCCUGCAAACCCAGCAGGCAGGUAAGGCAGCGCGGGGCUGACAAGCAUGCAACUCCAAGGAUUGAACCUGUGGCAGGGAAAGGAGCAAAUACUCCUGCCACCGCUAGGUUAAUGCCGUGGGUGCCCUUUUUUCUGUGUUGAUUGCAUUGGUUGGCGAGAAGAAACAUGUUGGGAGGGUUAAUGUCUCUUGCUGGACAUUUGUUUUUAGACAAUUUGUUGCUUUUUUCAGUCUCUUUCAUUGGAAACACAUUUUAUAGAUUUUGCAUCGGUUGUUCUUGCACUAUCAUGGUUUGUCAACACAUUUAUCUCUCUUUUGUUUAACGAAGGGACAUGUAGUUAACAAUUAAAACAAAAUUGAACUCUCAUAGUUAUUUCACAUUUAACUUUCAUUCUAUGAACAUACCAUUUCCAAGUCAAUCUGUUAAAUGAGAACAGUUUUCUGAACACAUUUACCUGUCAUUUGUUUUAGCUAUGCUUGGAGGGAACUUUGCUGCUCUCAGCCUUCUGCGAUGCUGCUAUUCAUGUUCUUGUUGCAUACCUCGACUCCCUCUAUCAAACUUGCAAGCAACUACUCUCAAACCCCUCUCAGUUUCAGGCAUUCAUAAUUUCCAGAGGUUUGCUUCUUCUUUUUUCGGUGUUCUUUGCCACGAUCAGCAACGCAAUGCUUUUGCGUCUGCUCUUUUGUUUUUUUGUUUUUUUUUUUUUAUAUAUAUUUUCUAGGCUUUCUUCUUUGACUCGUUAAAUUAAUAAGAGAGUUAGUAGUUCAUGGGGACCCUAUGUUCGGUAUACUUCGGCUAUGUUCUCUCGAAUUCUCAAUUCUUCAUUGAUUUGCUCUCGUAUAUGGUGGUAUUUAUCACAGCAUCGAAACUAUUUUUUUUUCUUAAACAAAAAAUUGUAAAGUAACAGCUGAGACACCCUCUCGACGCAAGUCCCAAAAUAAGUACCAUAACUUUACAGCAAGCAAAUGAAAUGCAGUCGGUCACAAGCUGAAUAUGUGAUGGGCACAAAUGACCGUUCGUUCGAGGAAAUGGCUAGAUUUUUGCAGUCUCUGUACCUUAAGAAGAAAAGAACAAUGCAGUCUUAAUGAAAAUAAAUGUACAAUGAUAAGUGGGGCAAG